rnacentral:rRNA from 1 species
GGCAGCUAAGCAAUUGUGGAUAACCGCUGAAAGCAUCUAAGCGGGAAGCCACUCCCGAGAAGAGUGAGCCUUGGACCCAAGCUACCUCCGCAAGGGGGUGGGGCGGGUCCAGAAGGGCGGCCAUAGAAGAUGGCGUUGAAAUGGUGGGGGUGUACGCUGGAAGCUUCGGCGACCAGUUCAGCCCGUCCACUAAUUACAGCCCAACGCUUGGAUGAG